GUUUGCAGUCAAAAUAGGUCUGUUGUUGUGGGGGAGAUAGGUCUGUUGUUGUGGGUUGAUAGGUCUGUUGUUGUGGGUUGAUAGGUCUGUUGUUGUGGGUUGAUAGGUCUGUUGUUGUGGGUUGAUAGGUCUGUUGUUGUGGGUUGAUAGGUCUGUUGUUGUGGGUCGAUAGGUCUGUUGUUGUGGGUUGAUAGGUCUGUUGUUGUGGGUCGAUAGGUCUGUUGUUGUGGGUUGAUAGGUCUGUUGUUGUGGGUCGAUAGGUCUGUUGUUGUGGGUUGAUAGGUCUGUUGUUGUGGGUUGAUAGGUCUGUUGUUGUGGGUUGAUAGGUCUGUUGUUGUGGGUUGAUAGGUCUGUUGUUGUGGGUUGAUAGGUCUGUUGUUGUGGGUUGAUAGGUCUGUUGUUGUGGGUUGAUAGGUCUGUUGUUGUGGGUUGAUAGGUCUGUUGUUGUGGGUUGAUAGGUCUGUUGUUGUGGGUUGAUAGGUCUGUUGUUGUGGGUUGAUAGGUCUGUUGUUGUGGGUUGAUAGGUCUGUUGUUGUGGGUUGAUAGGUCUGUUGUUGUGGGUUGGUAGGUCUGUUGUUGUGGGUUGAUAGGUCUGUUGUUGUGGGUUGAUAGGUCUGUUGUUGUGGGUUGAUAGGUCUGUUGUUGUGGGUUGAUAGGUCUGUUGUUGUGGGUCGAUAGGUCGGUUGUUGUGGGUUGAUAGGUCUGUUGUUGUGGGUUGAUAGGUCUGUUGUUGUGGGUCGAUAGGUCUGUUGUUGUGGGUUGAUAGGUCUGUUGUUGUGGGGGAGAUAGGUCUGUUGUUGUGGGGGAGAUAGGUCUGUUGUUUUAGGGACGAUAGGUCUGUUGAUUUAGGGACGAUAGGUCUGUUGUUUUAGGGACGAUAGGUCUGUUGUUUAUUGAACAGGCAGGAGGGCCCCUAAAUAAAACCCAUCUAUAAUCUCAACUUCAAUAUUAUAUACAUUAUUUACAAUGGAAUGUUG